rnacentral:rRNA from 1 species
AACGCUAGCUACAGGCUUAACACAUGCAAGUCGAGGGGAAACGACAUCGAAAGCUUGCUUUUGAUGGGCGUCGACCGGCGCACGGGUGAGUAACGCGUAUCCAACCUGCCCACCACUUGGGGAUAACCUUGCGAAAGUAAGACUAAUACCCAAUGACGUCUCUAGAAGACAUCUGAAAGAGAUUAAAGAUUUAUCGGUGAUGGAUGGGGAUGCGUCUGAUUAGCUUGUUGGCGGGGUAACGGCCCACCAAGGCGACGAUCAGUAGGGGUUCUGAGAGGAAGGUCCCCCACAUUGGAACUGAGACACGGUCCAAACUCCUACGGGAGGCAGCAGUGAGGAAUAUUGGUCAAUGGGCGAGAGCCUGAACCAGCCAAGUAGCGUGAAGGAUGACGGCCCUACGGGUUGUAAACUUCUUUUGUGCGGGAAUAAAGGAACCUACGUGUAGGUUUUUGCAUGUACCGUAACGAAUAAGCAUCGGCUAACUCCGUGCCAGCAGCCGCGGUAAUACGGAGGAUGCGAGCGUUAUCCGGAUUUAUUGGGUUUAAAGGGAGCGUAGACGGGUUUUUAAGUCAGCUGUGAAAGUUUGGGGCUCAACCUUAAAAUUGCAGUUGAAACUGGAGACCUUGAGUACGGUUGAGGCAGGCGGAAUUCGUGGUGUAGCGGUGAAAUGCUUAGAUAUCACGAAGAACUCCGAUUG